AGAAGAAGAUGGGGUCCGCGAGCCGCGCCGUCUCGUGCCUCUGCUGCCCCUGCAAGUGCCUGGCCUGCGGGCUCUUCAGCUGCCUGUGCAGCAUCCUCAUCUCCCUCCUCGUCUUCGCCGGCGUCCUCGUCCUCAUCCUCUACCUCAUCUUCCGCCCCCACAUGAUCGCCGCCACCGUCGACUCCGCCUCCCUCGCCACCUUCACCCUCUCGCCCACCUCCUCCCUCGCCUACAACCUCACCGUCGGCAUCACCGUCCGCAACCCCAACAAGCGGGUCGGCCUCUACUACGACAACGUCGAGGCCCUCGCGCUCUACAAGGACCAGCGCUUCGGAUACGCCCCGCUCGACUCCUUCUACCAGGGCACCGAGGCCUCCACCAAGCUCACCCCGGGCUUCCACGGCCAGCAGCCG
rnacentral:lncRNA from 1 species